rnacentral:rRNA from 2 species
AAUCCAUAGGUUAAUGAGGCGAACCGGGGGAACUGAAACAUCUAAGUACCCCGAGGAAAAGAAAUCAACCGAGAUUCCCCCAGUAGCGGCGAGCGAACGGGGAGGAGCCCAGAGCCUGAAUCAGCAUGUGUGUUAGUGGAAGCGUCUGGAAAGGCGCGCGAUACAGGGUGACAGCCCCGUACACAAAAGCGCAUGUGCUGUGAGCUCGAUGAGUAGGGCGGGACACGUGGUAUCCUGUCUGAAUAUGGGGGGACCAUCCUCCAAGGCUAAAUACUCCUGACUGACCGAUAGUGAACCAGUACCGUGAGGGAAAGGCGAAAAGAACCCCGGCGAGGGGAGUGAAAAAGAACCUGAAACCGUGUACGUACAAGCAGUGGGAGCCCCACCACUAAGCCAGUGGUGAACUCCACAUACGCAUCCUUUGCUGAGGAUACGGUUAACG